rnacentral:rRNA from 1 species
UACGUAGGGUGCAAGCGUUAUCCGGAAUCACUGGGCGUAAAGCGUGCGUAGGCGGAAGUUUAAGUGAGGUGUUAAAUCGUGUGGCUCAACCAUAUCGAUGCAUCUCAUACUGGGCUUCUAGAGGAUGGCGGAGGCAAGUGGAAUUGGUAGUGUAGCAGUGAAAUGCGUAGAUAUUACCAGGAACACCAAUGGCGAAGGCAGCUUGCUGGGCCACACCUGACGCUGAGUCACGAAAGCGUGGGGAGCGAACAGG